ACGGCGCGCCACCUAUAACGUUCCGGUUUGCCGUCGAUGAUAACGGUUAUCGUAUUGACAUGAUGUUGUUAUGGCCCGUCGAUCGUUUAUUUCUGCGUACUUGCGCGUUAUUUAUCACGCCCGCCGGAACUGACUGUUUGUACGCGUUCGGGUUAGGUGCGGUGAUUGCGUAGGCAUUGAGAAGAGAAAAGAAAAACCGAUACCCCGGGGACGGCGAAAAACAAUUCGGAGCGGACUUGGGUCGCGGACGUAUUCAACGAAAUCCAAAUACAUUAUUAAAA